UGGGUUGCCGCAGCUACCAUGCAGUCGAGCGGUACCAAGGAGCUUGCUCCCGGGUGACGAGCGGCGGACGGGUGAGUAAUGUCUGGGAAACUGCCUGAUGGAGGGGGAUAUCUACUGGAAACGGUAUCUAAUACCCCAUAAAGUCUCAAGACCAAAGAGGGGGACCUUCUGGCCUCUUGCCAUCUCAUGUGCCCCCAUGGGAUUAUCUAUUAUGUGGGGUAACGGCUCUCCUAUGCGACAAUCCCUAUCUGGUCUGAGAGGAUGACCACCCACACUGGAACUGAGACACGGUCCACACUCCUACGGGAGGCGGCAGUGGGGAAUAUUGCGCAAUGGGCGCAAGCCUGAUGCACCCAUGCCCCGUGUGUGAAAAAAGCCUUCUGGUUGUAAAGUACUUUCUCCGGGGAGGAAAGUGUUGAGGUUAAUAACCUCACCAAUUGACGUUUCCCGCACAAAAAACACCGGCUAACUCCGUGCCACCACCCCCGGUAAUACGGAGGGUGCAAGCGUUAAUCUCAAUUACUGGGCGUAAAGCGCACGCACGCGGUCUGUCACGUCUGAUGUGAAAUCCCCGGGCUCAACCUGGGAACUGCGUUCUAAACUGUGAGGCUAUAGUCUUGUAUAGGGGGGUAGAAUUCUAGGUGUAUCGGUGAAAUGCGUAUAGAUCUGGAGGAAUAUCGGUGUCGAAAGCGGCCCCCCUGGACAAAGACUGACGCUCACGUGCGAAACGUGUGGGAGCAAACAGGAUUAAUAUAUCCUGUGAUUCCACACCGUAUACGAUGUCUACUUGUAGGGUGUGCCCCUGAGACGUGGCUUCUCGAGAUAACACGUUAUGUCGACAGCCCUGGGGGAGUACUGGCCGCAAGGUGUAUAACUCAUAAUGUGUUGACGGGGGGCCCCACACGCGGGGGGAGCAUGUUGGUUUUUAUUAUCUCUGUCACAGCCGAAGAAGCCUUACCUACUCUUUGACAUCCCCCAGAACCUUUUCACAGAAUGCGCUUUGGGGUCCUCCCGGGAAUCUAUCAGACAAGGGGCUGCACGGUGGUGUCCUCCACCUCCUGUGUUGUGUAAUGUUUGGGUUAAAUCCCGCCGACAAGAGCCACCCCCUAUACCCUGAUGGACUACACGUUACUGCGCCUGGAACUUCUAGUAGAUC
rnacentral:rRNA from 1 species